CCAGACUCCUACGGGAGGCAGCAGUGAGGAAUAUUGGUCAAUGGUCGGGAGACUGAACCAGCCAAGCCGCGUGAGGGAGGAAGGUACAGAGUAUCGUAAACCUCUUUUGUCAGGGAACAAAGACUGGGACGCGUCCCCGGAUGAGUGUACCUGAAGAAAAAGCAUCGGCUAACUCCGUGCCAGCAGCCGCGGUAAUACGGAGGAUGCGAGCGUUAUCCGGAUUUAUUGGGUUUAAAGGGUGCGCAGGCGGAAUGUCAAGUCAGCGGUAAAAUUUCGGGGCUCAACCCCGUCGUGCCGUUGAAACUGGCGUUCUUGAGUGAGCGAGAAGUAUGCGGAAUGCGUGGUGUAGCGGUGAAAUGCAUAGAUAUCACACAGAACACCGAUUGCGAAGGCAUCUCACGAAUCCGCGAUUGACGCUGAUGCAUGAAAGCGUGGGUAUCAAACAGGAUUAGAUACCCCAGUA
rnacentral:rRNA from 1 species